rnacentral:rRNA from 1 species
AUCUGACGGACACGCCGCGUGAGCGAUGAAGGCCUUCGGGUCGUAAAGCUCUGUUGUUAGGGAAGAACAAGUGCUAGUUGAAUAAGCUGGCACCUUGACGGUACCUAACCAGAAAGCCACGGCUAACUACGUGCCAGCAGCCGCGGUAAUACGUAGGUGGCAAGCGUUAUCCGGAAUUAUUGGGCGUAAAGCGCGCGCAGGUGGUUUCUUAAGUCUGAUGUGAAAGCCCACGGCUCAACCGUGGAGGGUCAUUGGAAACUGGGAGACUUGAGUGCAGAAGAGGAAAGUGGAAUUCCAUGUGUAGCGGUGAAAUGCGUAGAGAUAUGGAGGAACACCAGUGGCGAAGGCGACUUUCUGGUCUGCAACUGACACUGAGGCGCGAAAGCGUGGGGAGCAAACAGGAUUAGAUACCCUGGUAGUCCACGCCGUAAACGAUGAGUGCUAAGUGUUAGAGGGUUUCCGCCCUUUAGUGCUGAAGUUAACGCAUUAAGCACUCCGC